rnacentral:rRNA from 1 species
GAUAGGCUGGAGGUGGAAGCCCUGUGAGGGGUGGAGCUGACCAGUACUAAUAGCCCGUGCGUCUUGUUUC